AAAUGAUUGGCUUUCUUGGAGCUGGGGAGGUAUUUGCAGAGGCGGGUGUGUGAAAUAUUGUUAUUGCCGUUAUUUUUUUACGCGCCAAGAGGUGAUGAUUU